UGGGGAAUAUUGCACAAUGGGCGCAAGCCUGAUGCAGCCAUGCCGCGUGUAUGAAGAAGGCCUUCGGGUUGUAAAGUACUUUCAGCGGGGAGGAAGGUGUUGAGGUUAAUAACCUCAGCAAUUGACGUUACCCGCAGAAGAAGCACCGGCUAACUCCGUGCCAGCAGCCGCGGUAAUACGGAGGGUGCAAGCGGUAAUCGGAAUUACUGGGCGUAAAGCGCACGCAGGCGGUCUGUCAAGUCGGAUGUGAAAUCCCCGGGCUCAACCUGGGAACUGCAUUCGAAACUGGCAGGCUAGAGUCUUGUAGAGGGGGGUAGAAUUCCAGGUGUAGCGGUGAAAUGCGUAGAGAUCUGGAGGAAUACCGGUGGCGAAGGCGGCCCCCUGGACAAAGACUGACGCUCAGGUGCGAAAGCGUGGGGAGCAAACA
rnacentral:rRNA from 1 species